GACAGAGGUGCCAAGCGUUAGGCGGAAUCACUGGGCUUAAAGCGUGUGUAGGCGGGUGCCUAAGUACCUUGUGAAAUCCCACGGCUCAACCGUGGAACUGCUGGGUAUACUGGGUGCCUUGGGUCAUCUAGGGGCGUGACCGGAACAAAUGGUGGAGCGGUGAAAUGCGUAGAGAUGAGUGGACGGAACACCGGUGGCGAAGGCGGCAUCCUGGACCGACAUUGACGGCUGAGGCGACGGAAAGCCAGGGGACGCAAACGGG
rnacentral:rRNA from 1 species